GUGUUCACUUCAGCAGUACACGUACUAAGAUUAGAACGAUAAAGAGAAGAUUAGCACGAUCCUUGCACAAUGAGGACUCUCCUGAGAGUGUAGUAGGAUUCUUUGCU
ensembl:snRNA U6 U6 spliceosomal RNA